UCAUUAACUGAAUCCAUAGGUUAAUGAGGCGAACCGGGGGAACUGAAACAUCUAAGUACCCCGAGGAAAAGAAAUCAACCGAGAUUCCCCCAGUAGCGGCGAGCGAACGGGGAGGAGCCCAGAGCCUGAAUCAGUGUGUGUGUUAGUGGAAGCGUCUGGAAAGGCGCGCGAUACAGGGUGACAGCCCCGUACACAAAAAUGCACAUGCUGUGAGCUCGAUGAGUAGGGCGGGACACGUGGUAUCCUGUCUGAAUAUGGGGGGACCAUCCUCCAAGGCUAAAUACUCCUGACUGACCGAUAGUGAACCAGUACCGUGAGGGAAAGGCGAAAAGAACCCCGGCGAGGGGAGUGAAAAAGAACCUGAAACCGUGUACGUACAAGCAGUGGGAGCACGCUUAGGCGUGUGACUGCGUACCUUUUGUAUAAUGGGUCAGCGACUUAUAUUCUGUAGCAAGGUUAACCGAAUAGGGGAGCCGAAGGGAAACCGAGUCUUAACUGGGCGUUAAGUUGCAGGGUAUAGACCCGAAACCCGGUGAUCUAGCCAUGGGCAGGUUGAAGGUUGGGUAACACUAACUGGAGGACCGAACCGACUAAUGUUGAAAAAUUAGCGGAUGACUUGUGGCUGGGGGUGAAAGGCCAAUCAAACCGGGAGAUAGCUGGUUCUCCCCGAAAGCUAUUUAGGUAGCGCCUCGUGAACUCAUCUCCGGGGGUAGAGCACUGUUUCGGCAAGGGGGUCAUCCCGACUUACCAACCCGAUGCAAACUGCGAAUACCGGAGAAUGUUAUCACGGGAGACACACGGCGGGUGCUAACGUCCGUCGUGAAGAGGGAAACAACCCAGACCGCCAGCUAAGGUCCCAAAGUCAUGGUUAAGUGGGAAACGAUGUGGGAAGGCCCAGACAGCCAGGAUGUUGGCUUAGAAGCAGCCAUCAUUUAAAGAAAGCGUAAUAGCUCACUGGUCGAGUCGGCCUGCGCGGAAGAUGUAACGGGGCUAAACCAUGCACCGAAGCUGCGGCAGCGACGCUUAUGCGUUGUUGGGUAGGGGAGCGUUCUGUAAGCCUGUGAAGGUGUACUGUGAGGUAUGCUGGAGGUAUCAGAAGUGCGAAUGCUGACAUAAGUAACGAUAAAGCGGGUGAAAAGCCCGCUCGCCGGAAGACCAAGGGUUCCUGUCCAACGUUAAUCGGGGCAGGGUGAGUCGACCCCUAAGGCGAGGCCGAAAGGCGUAGUCGAUGGGAAACAGGUUAAUAUUCCUGUACUUGGUGUUACUGCGAAGGGGGGACGGAGAAGGCUAUGUUGGCCGGGCGACGGUUGUCCCGGUUUAAGCGUGUAGGCUGGUUUUCCAGGCAAAUCCGGAAAAUCAAGGCUGAGGCGUGAUGACGAGGCACUACGGUGCUGAAGCAACAAAUGCCCUGCUUCCAGGAAAAGCCUCUAAGCAUCAGGUAACAUCAAAUCGUACCCCAAACCGACACAGGUGGUCAGGUAGAGAAUACCAAGGCGCUUGAGAGAACUCGGGUGAAGGAACUAGGCAAAAUGGUGCCGUAACUUCGGGAGAAGGCACGCUGAUAUGUAGGUGAAGUCCCUCGCGGAUGGAGCUGAAAUCAGUCGAAGAUACCAGCUGGCUGCAACUGUUUAUUAAAAACACAGCACUGUGCAAACACGAAAGUGGACGUAUACGGUGUGACGCCUGCCCGGUGCCGGAAGGUUAAUUGAUGGGGUUAGCGCAAGCGAAGCUCUUGAUCGAAGCCCCGGUAAACGGCGGCCGUAACUAUAACGGUCCUAAGGUAGCGAAAUUCCUUGUCGGGUAAGUUCCGACCUGCACGAAUGGCGUAAUGAUGGCCAGGCUGUCUCCACCCGAGACUCAGUGAAAUUGAACUCGCUGUGAAGAUGCAGUGUACCCGCGGCAAGACGGAAAGACCCCGUGAACCUUUACUAUAGCUUGACACUGAACAUUGAGCCUUGAUGUGUAGGAUAGGUGGGAGGCUUUGAAGUGUGGACGCCAGUCUGCAUGGAGCCGACCUUGAAAUACCACCCUUUAAUGUUUGAUGUUCUAACGUUGACCCGUAAUCCGGGUUGCGGACAGUGUCUGGUGGGUAGUUUGACUGGGGCGGUCUCCUCCUAAAGAGUAACGGAGGAGCACGAAGGUUGGCUAAUCCUGGUCGGACAUCAGGAGGUUAGUGCAAUGGCAUAAGCCAGCUUGACUGCGAGCGUGACGGCGCGAGCAGGUGCGAAAGCAGGUCAUAGUGAUCCGGUGGUUCUGAAUGGAAGGGCCAUCGCUCAACGGAUAAAAGGUACUCCGGGGAUAACAGGCUGAUACCGCCCAAGAGUUCAUAUCGACGGCGGUGUUUGGCACCUCGAUGUCGGCUCAUCACAUCCUGGGGCUGAAGUAGGUCCCAAGGGUAUGGCUGUUCGCCAUUUAAAGUGGUACGCGAGCUGGGUUUAGAACGUCGUGAGACAGUUCGGUCCCUAUCUGCCGUGGGCGCUGGAGAACUGAGGGGGGCUGCUCCUAGUACGAGAGGACCGGAGUGGACGCAUCACUGGUGUUCGGGUUGUCAUGCCAAUGGCACUGCCCGGUAGCUAAAUGCGGAAGAGAUAAGUGCUGAAAGCAUCUAAGCACGAAACUUGCCCCGAGAUGAGUUCUCCCUGACUCCUUGAGAGUCCUGAAGGAACGUUGAAGACGACGACGUUGAUAGGCCGGGUGUGUAAGCGCAGCGAUGCGUUGAGCUAACCGGUACUAAUGAACCGUGAGGCUUAACCU
rnacentral:rRNA from 1 species